rnacentral:rRNA from 1 species
AUUGAACGCUGGCGGCAGGCCUAACACAUGCAAGUCGAGCGGAUGAAGGGAGCUUGCUCCUGGAUUCAGCGGCGGACGGGUGAGUAAUGCCUAGGAAUCUGCCUGGUAGUGGGGGAUAACGUCCGGAAACGGGCGCUAAUACCGCAUACGUCCUGAGGGAGAAAGUGGGGGAUCUUCGGACCUCACGCUAUCAGAUGAGCCUAGGUCGGAUUAGCUAGUUGGUGGGGUAAAGGCCUACCAAGGCGACGAUCCGUAACUGGUCUGAGAGGAUGAUCAGUUACACUGGAACUGAGACACGGACAAGGCGCCUACGGGAGGCAGCAGUGGGGAAUAUUGGACAAUGGGCGAAAGCCUGAUCCAGCCAUGCCGCGUGUGUGAAGAAGGUCUUCGGAUUGUAAAGCACUUUAAGUUGGGAGGAAGGGCAGUAAGUUAAUACCUUGCUGUUUUGACGUUACCAACAGAAUAAGCACCGGCUAACUUCGUG